AACGAACGCUGGCGGCGUGGCUAAAGGCAUGCAAGUCGAACGGAUCUAUCCAACGGGUAAACUGAAGGGUAGAUUAGUGGCGAACGGGUGAGGAAUACAUGGACAACGUACCCUGGACACGGGGAUAGCGGCGGGCCGCAAGGCUCUUUAGCGAAAAGUGCCGGUAAUACCCGAUGAUCCCGCAUGGUCGCAUGAUCGUGUGGGCAAAGCUCCGACGGUCUGGGAUCGGUUCAUGCCCUAUCAGCUAGUUGGUGAGGUAACGGCUCACCAAGGCGGCGACGGGUACCGGGCGUGAGAGCGUGA
rnacentral:rRNA from 1 species